CGGACGGGUGAGUAACACGUAGAGAACCUACCUUACACAGGGGGACAACGGCUGGGAAACGGCUGCUAAUACCGCAUAAGCACCCAGUUUCGCAUGAAACAGAGUGAAAAGAGUAAAUCGGUGUAAGAUGGCUCUGCGUCUGAUUAGCUAGUUGGUGGGGGUAAAGGCUCACCAAGGCGACGAUCAGUAGCCGGCCUGAGAGGGCGACCGGCCACAUUGGGACUGAGACACGGCCCAGACUCCUACGGAAGGCAGCAG
rnacentral:rRNA from 1 species